CUUGCCCCUAGUUAAGGAGUAUUUACAUUUAUACAGUCCUAAAAUUACAUUCAGCCCUUUGAAGGCAACCAUGAGGCUGAUGUGGCCCCUGGUGAAAUGAGUUCAACACCCCUGAUCUAAAUUCCUCAAAUACUUGGAAAAGAUU